rnacentral:rRNA from 1 species
AUCUACGACCAUGUCACCUCGAACAAGCCCGAUAUCUGAUCUUGGAAGCUAAGCAUGGUCAAGCCUUGUUAGUACUUGAAUGGGAGACCACCUAGAAAGACCAGGUGCUGUAGUCA